GCCUGCGCGACCCGGAACGUUCGGGCUGGUCUCGCGCCUUCCGGGGCCGCAGUUCCCGACCCUACCUGCCCCCGCGCGCGGCGUUUUGCGCCUCGCCGGCCUCCCAUCCCGGGCCCGCCAACCCCGCUCGGCGCGCGUCGGCCUAACGCUCUCCCCACCCAAUCUCUGUCCAGGCCCCGGGGGCUGAUCGCCCGUGCCAGCGGCUCUGGGAAGUCCAGAAAAGUAAACUCUCGGCGGUUAAAGCGUGUCCCCAGAUAGUGUGCACUCCGGAUCCUCCCAGCAUCGGGACUCCCAGACUGCGUGCCUGGGGCUAGGUUUUGAGCCUUGAGGCCGCGUUUAGGGGAUCAAAGCCGGGAAUCCCAUGGACAGAGGAGCCUGGCGGGCUACAUAGCCCAAGGGGUUGCAGAGUCCAACACGACUGAGCGACUGAGUACAUACCGGCACACAUGAAGUAUAUAAUUCACGGAAACGGUGGUCCUGGACAGGAACGCAGACGACUUUCGGAAGCUCUGCCAUCUUCCCUUGAACUCACCUUCAGGCCUUCCGAGUCCUCUUUGACUCACCCUUCAGCCCCCACGUUCUGAAGCUGCCAAGUCCGCGGGAGCGUCUAAGACGUCCUCUUUCUCCAAGCUCAGGGUCCCACUUGGAUCCAGACUCUAUGCCAUGGUCACCUGGCUCUCCCUGGAUUCACCUGCUCUGCAUUCCUGUCUUCACCUGCCUACUUCCUUUGGCAGAAAUGCCUGGGGCUCGCGGGACCCCCAGCCAGCAGCCCUGUCUGGGUGUUCACACCCCAGGCCCCGAUCAUGCCGCUGGCCCUUCACUCCUCCGACCACUGGCUCUGACCUCAGCCUGACCACUCCCCUGUCCCCACCCCUGACCUAGGUGCUCUCAGACCCAGAAGGCUGGCUGCAGACCCCUGCAGCCCACCCCCGGCCCAGCCCCCAGCCCCACUGAUUGUCCGAGGCUGGGGCGCCACCAUCAGCAACCCUGCCCAGGUGACCAGUAAGAAGAAUAUGGCAGAGAAACAGGCCCAAAGGGAGGAAGGACAGACUGAAAGUGUGGUGGUGGUCUCCGAUGUUGUUCCAGCCUCCCACCUCCAUUGCCCAGCCCCUCCCAGAGCCACCCCCAGGGAUCCGGGGAAGGCACAGCAGGAGGGACUCCAGGGCAGGGGAUCCCCCUAGACACCCUCUCCUCCUCCAGGU
ensembl:lncRNA